CAACUUCAGUCUGGAGUCUAGGGUCUGUUUGAACCAGGGGACAGAAAGGGCCAGACCUACAGGGAAGGUUUUAUUUAACUGCUGAUUCUUCUGCUAGAAGCAUCAAGCCAAGCUAGGCCUUGUCUCCCCAUUGAAGUGGCUCUAGAAGGCCUUGGACUCCUACCUUGUCUCAGGGUAGACUGAGUCAAGAAGGAGGAGGUUUCCUGAAUGCAGAUGUGAUGGACAACUUGUAAUGCACCUGGCUUUCUCCAAGCCUGGAACCCAAACUCUCCAGUUUCAGCCAUCACUCCCACAAGAAACCAAGAAGCACUCCCUCCAAACUUCACAGCCUGCAGUGUCUUUUGCCAUUAGAACGGGGAUUAACGUGGCUAUUCUGGAGUUUGCCAGUCCCAAAGGCGCCUACAGCACAACUCACAAGAAGAAAUAACUGCCCCAAACUAGAGGAAGAAAGUGUUAAAGGGAAACCCAUCUGCCUAACUCCGAACAGAGCUUCUCUUCCCAAACCAGCAGGAUGCGGCGGAAGUGACGACAUCUACCUAUGCCCCGGGACCUCAAGAGGCCACCCAACUUACGUUCUCGUGCUCCUGGGAGCCAGCCACCAAGUUGGAAGCUUGGGCUGGACUCCAGGGUGGUGAGAGAUCGCGGGGUAGGAGGGAGGCCUCAUGGAUGAGAGCUGAGCCACCCUGCAGCCACCACGUGAGUCCUGCAGCCCAGGGUCACAGGCUGUGGCUUUUAACCCCGAGUUCCGGUGGUUUGUCGCAAGGCAAUAGAUCAUUAAAGCAACAGUGACAGUAACCUGUUGAUGUGGAG
rnacentral:lncRNA from 1 species